rnacentral:rRNA from 1 species
UGCAGUCGAGCGGUAGAGAGAAGCUUGCUUCUCUUGAGAGCGGCGGACGGGUGAGUAAUGCCUAGGAAUCUGCCUGGUAGUGGGGGAUAACGUUCGGAAACGAACGCUAAUACCGCAUACGUCCUACGGGAGAAAGCAGGGGACCUUCGGGCCUUGCGCUAUCAGAUGAGCCUAGGUCGGAUUAGCUAGUUGGUGAGGUAAUGGCUCACCAAGGCGACGAUCCGUAACUGGUCUGAGAGGAUGAUCAGUCACACUGGAACUGAGACACGGUCCAGACUCCUACGGGAGGCAGCAGUGGGGAAUAUUGGACAAUGGGCGAAAGCCUGAUCCAGCCAUGCCGCGUGUGUGAAGAAGGUCUUCGGAUUGUAAAGCACUUUAAGUUGGGAGGAAGGGCAUUAACCUAAUACGUUAGUGUUUUGACGUUACCGACAGAAUAAGCACCGGCUAACUCUGUGCCAGCAGCCGCGGUAAUACAGAGGGUGCAAGCGUUAAUCGGAAUUACUGGGCGUAAAGCGCGCGUAGGUGGUUUGUUAAGUUGGAUGUGAAAUCCCCGGGCUCAACCUGGGAACUGCAUUCAAAACUGACUGACUAGAGUAUGGUAGAGGGUGGUGGAAUUUCCUGUGUAGCGGUGAAAUGCGUAGAUAUAGGAAGGAACACCAGUGGCGAAGGCGACCACCUGGACUAAUACUGACACUGAGGUGCGAAAGCGUGGGGAGCAAACAGGAUUAGAUACCCUGGUAGUCCACGCCGUACACGAUGUCAACUAGCCGUUGGAAGCCUUGAGCUUUUAGUGGCGCA